rnacentral:rRNA from 1 species
CCUACGGGACGCAGCAGUGAGGAAUAUUGGUCAAUGGCCGGAAGGCUGAACCAGCCAAGCCGCGUGAGGGAGGAAGGCGCAGAGCGUCGCAGACCUCUUUUGCCGGGGGACAAAAGGCCGGACUCGUCCGGUCCUGAGGGUACCCGGAGAAAAAGCAUCGGCUAACUCCGUGCCAGCAGCCGCGGUAAUACGGAGGAUGCGAGCGUUAUCCGGAUUUAUUGGGUUUAAAGGGUGCGUAGGCGGGACGGUAAGUCAGCGGUAAAAAUGCGGAGCUCAACUCCGUCGAGCCGUUGAAACUGCCGUUU